rnacentral:lncRNA from 1 species
CUUUAUUAUCUGAUAGGCAAUUUGAUAUGUAACACAUGCAAAAACACUUGAAAUUUAAGGGAAAGUUUUUUCAUCCAUUUUAAAAUAUGAAUGAUCAAGAAUGUAAUUACUGCUCCUCUCAGAGUAAGUACAGGACCUUAUUUUUUUCCCCAGUAGGAGGUCAGCAAGUUAGGAGAGAAGAUGAAAGGGGAGGAGUCCCUGGUUUAAUCCCAACAGACCCCCCUGGCCAGGUCCACAAAGGGCGUGAACAUGAGCUCAUUGCAAUGCUGAGGGUUGGAUAGGAAUUUGCUUUGUAUCCACAGCCAGUCAAAACUUGACUAAUAAUAUUUUCAACAAAAAAUUUACCCUUUGCUUUCUCCAAAAAUGGUCCAUUUUAUUAGUUACUUCUAUAAAUCUUCUAGAGAAAGAUUAAGAUCCUAAUCUACCAAAAUAUUUACCUUAAAAAUAAAACUUAGGGUAAAGAAACUGUCCACAGCUAUUUCACUAAACUAAGUGCAACUCAAAUUCGAAGAGCACAAAAAAGGUUUUCAAGUUCCUAGCUUACCACCCAGGCCUUUUACCCACCUUUGUACACCCUACAAAGUCUCCUACAGCUUGUGCACUAUAUAGUAUCCCACCAGACACACACACACACACACACACACACCCCAAUAUUGUUGAUCCAUUAGGUUUGUUUGGGAGCUACUUACACUGUGUGAGUUGUGGUCUCAAAUUACUGUUUGCUCUUUUAACUUCUUAGAAGGAUAAACAGUGUGGAAACAAAACCAGUAGUAAAAGAAACUGGCAUCUGACCUACUCUUUAGCUGAAUAAUUCCUCUUAUUCAGAGUCACACAUUUGUUUUUUGUGAUGGACAAAGGAAAAAAAGUAAUAUACUACCAUAUUAUAUCUUAAAGCUAUGUUUUCUGCUCUCAGUUUGAAUGUCGAACAGGUGGGCUUCCAUUUAUAACUAACACCAACCAGUUUUCUAAGCACUGAAUGGGUGGGAAACUAAAAAGAUCCAGUGGAAGAUUUGAGUGGAAGCUCAUUGUGGUAUAUAGUAUUUCUCUCUUUGUCUCUUCCAGCCAUAGCUUCAAACACAGACACACACAACACACAACACACCCAACACACGCACCUUAAAGGCAGAAAAUGGACAAUUCGCUCUAAAUAAACACAGGCAGGUACAGACAAAGUUUGUCAGGUAUCCUAUUGCUUCAUUCCUAUAGUUAGGUAAGAGUUGCUUUUAAUCUCUUGCCCCUAAGAUAGGGGACUGUUACUGACAACUACCUGCACAUACUUCAGGCAAGGGGAGACUGUUGACACUGCCAUGGAUACUAACGUCACAAGUGAAAACUUUACCUAUUUAAAACUUUCAGAAAUAACUACUUACUGCCCAGGAAAAAAACCUGCCCUUUUAACAAAGCCUAAUCAUUGUUUACAAUUUUUAAGUGCAACGUACUACCUAUUUAAAUUUCUUAACCUGCAAAAAUAAAAUAUAUUGUCCGUUCAAAAGUUAUUUGGAAAAUUACAGGAAUGUGAUACUUGCAUUUUGCCAACAAGGUGUUUGAUGCAAAAUUGCAUUCAUAGUGACGGUAAUAAUUCUGCUGAUUUUGUUUGUUCUUUCCACUCCUGGAAGAGACCAAUCACAGUCUAACAGCUUCUCUUGGCCAUGGCUGUUGCUAGAAGGUGGAUUGGUCUGAGCUGGCUAUCCAUUUGUUUGCAGUUUCCAAUUUUAAGAGGCAAACAACCUAUAAUCUAAACACUGAACAACAGAUCCCAUCAGAUAUGUUUUAAGAUGGAUAAAGAUGAAAAGAUUAAGUAAAUCUCAGUCUGUGUCAUAAAAAGAAGGAAAAGCAGAACUGGAAGGGAGGAUGGGAAAUCUCAGAAAGAGAGAGAGAUUUAAUGUCAGUUGGUUUCUUCAGUCCUAUGCCCAGCCCGCCUGGUUUCCAUGCUUUCCAGGCCCAUGAAGUCAGCUCAUAGACGAAAUUUACUUUAAAUCAUCAAAUACGUGCGUUUCAGAACUGUAAGCUGUUCUUUAGAAUGGAUCCUGAAGCUGGCUGCAGUCUGGUUGGAAGGCUUUGUUUAGUAGUUCCCCAGGACAGAUUCAAAUACAAAAGACUGGAAGUAGAAGAAAUGGAGAGCUUCUCAGGGCUGAGGAGGUGGAAGGAAGGAGACCGACAAGGAACCGGGUGAAGGGGUGGCAGUUUGCAGAAAGGACGGCGUGGGAGAGGGAAGAGCAAGCUGAAAGGAGGGAAAACAGACGCCCACCCAGGGCUUGCCUAGCACUGCCUGGGCCUCACCAAGGACCUGACACGCUCUCCCGGAGAGCAGCAGGGCCGGGCCAGGGGCACUGACUUCCCGUCCAUCAGCUGCAGCCUUCCUUGAAGGGCACAUUUUUGGGAUCUAGAUGCAUGGAAACUCUUUGCUGGCAAGUACAGGCUUAGGUGAGAGGAGAGUGUGGUUCACAAGCAGCAUAUUAGUCCUGCAGCUGAGGAAUGAAUGUUUUAUAGAUUUGCAGCCUUUGAUCCGAUCCAUCAAGAUAUGAACCCUGAGAGUUGUGCUCUGCCUAGUUCAAUGAUCUGUUGACUGCUUAAAUAUGCACAAUUUGAAAAAUAAGUCCAAAUAAGCACGGCCCAUUGGGGGCAGCAUGCCCUGCCACUUGAGUGAUAGAGGCCGCAGAUUACAGGAAAGGGAGGGGAUUAGAUCGAGAAUGGGCCCUCACGUAGCCUAUAGAAUGCGGUGAUGUGAUGAGAUCAGGCUCACAGAACCAGUGCUCUAACAGUAGCUUCAGGUGGAGUUAGGAAGGAAAGGUGUCAGAAAGUACCCUGACCUAGAGGACACAGGUGUCCAAUUUAGCUUCUCCAAGCUAGAAAGUACAGAACGCAGCAUUUCUAGGAUUAUCCUAAGACUCAAGAUGCCUGAUACAUGGCCAACAGGAAAUACAUGUGAGUCAGUUCCCCUUCCUUCAGUGGACGUAAACUAGAUACGAGAUAUUGGGAAAUAACAGCAAAUUUGGCUGUGUGAACACAAGGAAGUUAAGAGGGAAAAGGCCCAAGGACAAGCUAGUAUUUCAAAUUUUAAAACCAACUCUUAGAAAAAGGAGACAAGGAUGAGUUGAAGUUGACACACUGAAUUUUGCUACAAAAACAACAGGGAUUAAGGAGGCCUGACAGGUGGAAUCCAGCUUGGAUCUACUCAGGUUUCACACCCUUCGUUCUUCCGGGAUGAUUCCGAGGAGAGAGGCACCCAGCACUGGAUGAGUGCUGAUAGACUUUUGUUUCAAAACUCCCUCACAAGUUGCAGCUUCAGGGCCCACCAAACGAGGCUGAAGUCAGAAGGCAAUUCCUGUGGGUUAAUCAUAGGCAAUGGAAGACCAAGAGUUAGAGCUCUGUGGCUGUCAUCAAAGGAAAAGAAAGGUCAGCAGGGAAACAGAAGGCCCAUGGGCUAGGACGCUGACUGGAGAUCAAAGUGACCAGCGUCAGGGGAUGGGCCACCAAACUUGACUCCUUAAAAAUGACCUUUUUGGGGGAGAUAAGAUCUCAUUAUAUUAUCUUCACUGGCUCCACCUCCAGGGUUCACGCGUUCCUCCUGUCUCAGCCUCCCUAGUGGACAGGACUAGAAGCAUUGCGCCAUGCAUUGGUCUAGAAAAAUGGCCCUCUUCGGAGAGCACAUGCUCAGUACAUUUCUGGGAAGCAGGAGUACAGGACAGCGGGGUGCAGGACAGCGGGAGACAGAGCGGGCCGCGGUGUGGAACCACCACCUGACGACGCUCUGGUAAAAGAACCGAGGGCUGCCAUCCCUGCCUCUGUGGACCCUCUAACUUUUGCCUGUGUCGUCGAUUCGGGGUUAAUGUCGGCUUCCUGAGCACGGGGCUGUCUCCUCUCGCUUUCCCCUUCCGGAAGUGUGCUGCGGCCUUAGUUGGGUCGUUUCUUUUCUUUUCUUUUCUUUGAAAGCGAAGCCGGCCCGGGCGGCCCGUUCUGGAGUUCUGUUGGUUGGCCGGCUGGUGGCGGUGAGUUUCUCUCUGCCGGCGGCUCUCGCCCGGGGUUCGGGAGCUGAUCCCGGAGCCCAGCACUGAGGACCAGGGCGGAGAGGCGCAAGUCUCGGGCGCAGGGCCCGGGAAAGCCCUGCGCGGCGAUCAGGGACAGAGGCGGAGGUGGCGAUGACUUCACCGCCAGGCGCCUCCCCACCGGGCAGCCGCAGUCGGCGCAGCCGGCUUCCCCGGGAUAACUUUUCUCUGACGACUCGCUUCUCACUGCCUGGCGUCACAAGUCACUGAGGGGAAGAAGAGCUGCGAUUAGAUUGAUUUCUGCUUCCUCCGACGAGAAGUGGGAGGAGCCCCUCCCGGGCGGCGUCCGUCCCUCAACCGGGAAUGGAAUCCAAUGUCAAGCCUUUACCAUUUUCCUCUUUAAUAAAAUCGAAAGGCUCCUGUUACUAUGAUACAAGUUGAAAACAAGCCGCAAAACUACGGCUUGGCAGACCCGGGAGGCGCCGGCCUUCGGGGGACCGCGUGUGCGCCCGGCGUGGGCCGGCGCGGAGUGCGCGGCCAGGGUGCCGGGACGCUGCCGCGGAGGCUCCUUUGUAGAAGGCGCCGGGCAGCCUCAGGCCCCGGGUCCCCGCGCAGGUUUGGGAGCAAACACACAGUAUAGUUGCCUUUUUUUCCUGGGAGCUGACUCGCCAGCAAAGAAGUACGACACAAGUCUGAUGUUUGUGCCUGCCUCUCCAAGCCCAGGGAAUCAUCUCCUUAGAAGGCAUCAGUACUAUGCAUGUUAUGAAUUGUGUCUCCCUGGCCAGUGAUAAAGAAAAUGGGAAUAUCGCCACAGCGGCUGGAUUCAUGAUCGGGCAGACCUCACCUCCGUCUCCUCCAUCUCCUCCUCCUCCUCCUCCCCCUCCCCC